rnacentral:rRNA from 1 species
CCCCGGGCUCAACCUGGGAACGUCAUCUGAUAUGGGGAAGGUUGAGUCUCGUAGAGGGGGGUAGAAUUCCAGGUGUAGCGGUGAAAUGCGUAGAGAUCUGGAGGAAUACCGGUGGCGAAGGCGGCCCCCUGGACGAAGACUGACGCUCAGGUGCGAAAGCGUGGGGAGCAAACAGGAUUAGAUACCCUGGUAGUCCACGCCGUAAACGAUGUCGACUUGGAGGUUGUGCCCUUGAGGCGUGGCUUCCGGAGCUAACGCGUUAAGUCGACCGCCUGGGGAGUACGGCCGCAAGGUUAAAACUCAAAUGAAUUGACGGGGGCCCGCACAAGCGGUGGAGCAUGUGGUUUAAUUCGAUGCAACGCGAAGAACCUUACCUGGUCUUGACAUCCACAGAACUUUCCAGAGAUGGAUUGGUGCCUUCGGGAACUGUGAGACAGGUGCUGCAUGGCUGUCGUCAGCUCGUGUUGUGAAAUGUUGGGUUAAGUCCCGCAACGAGCGCAACCCUUAUCCUUUGUUGCCAGCGGUCCGGCCGGGAACUCAAAGGAGACUGCCAGUGAUAAACUGGAGGAAGGUGGGGAUGACGUCAAGUCAUCAUGGCCCUUACGACCAGGGCUACACACGUGCUACAAUGGCGCAUACAAAGAGAAGCGACCUCGCGAGAGCAAGCGGACCUCAUAAAGUGCGUCGUAGUCCGGAUUGGAGUCUGCAACUCGACUCCAUGAAGUCGGAAUCGCUAGUAAUCGUGGAUCAGAAUGCCACGGUGAAUACGUUCCCGGGCCUUGUACACACCGCCCGUCACACCAUGGGAGUGGGUUGCAAAAGAAGUAGGUAGCUUAACCUUCGGGAGGGCGCUUACCACUUUGUGAUUCAUGACUGGGGUGAAGUCGUAACAAGGUAACCGUAGGGGAACCUGCGGUUGGAUCACCUCCUUACCUUAAAGAAGC